UACGGGGGGAGCAAGCGUUGUUCGGAUUUACUGGGCGUAAAGGGCGCGUAGGCGGCGCAACAAGUCACUUGUGAAAUCUCCGGGCUUAACUCGGAGCGGCCAAGUGAUACUGUCGUGCUAGAGUGCGGAAGGGGCUACUGGAAUUCUCGGUGUAGCGAUGAAAUGCGUAGAUAUCGAGAGGAACACCUGCGGCGAAGGCGGGUAGCUGGGCCGACACUGACGCUGAGGCGCGAAAGCUAGGGGAGCGAACGGG
rnacentral:rRNA from 1 species